rnacentral:rRNA from 1 species
UACGUAGGUGGCAAGCGUUACUCGGAAUCACUAGGCGUAAAGCGCAGGUAGGCGGUUUGAUAAGUCUGUUGUGAAAGCUCCCGGCUUAACUGGGAGAGGUCAACGGAAACUGUCAGGCUAGAGUGUGGUAGAGGUAGCUGGAAUUCCCGGUGUAGCAGUGAAAUGCGUAGAGAUGUGGAGGAAUACCGAUGGCGAAGGCAGCCUCCUGGGCCAACACUGACGCUCAUGGCACGAAAGCGUGGGGAGCAAACAGG